CAUAAAAGUUUUAUUCUAGCUAUGAUGGUUCCUACACCAUUAUUUCACAUGUAAGGGCUACCGUGAUGGAAGGAGGGAUCUAAAAGAUUUGUUGAUGCUUUAUUCGCAGUGUUUUAUAUUAGUUAUAAGAACAUUCUUGAACUAGUAAUUUGUUUAAUUCCGGCAAAAUUCGUGCCAGCCGCCGCGGUUACACGAAAGGAGUGGGGAAACAUUUUUGGUUAGCAGUUAGUUAUGCCAAUCUUGGCUAGACAUUUCUAUUUGUUAGGUGAAAUUUUAAAUUGUGACAAUGCCCAUAAGUUGGAGUUAAUGAAGCUGUGAAAAUUAAAUUAAAGACUGGGAUUAGAUACCCCAUUAUUUUAAUUGUUGAACGAAGACCAGAGUAGUAAUAGUAAGAUCUUGAAACUCAAAGAAUUUGGCGGUGUUUUAUUCCAUUCAGAGGAACCUGUUCCGUAAUCGAUACCCCACGUUUAAUUAACUUGGUCUGGGAGACAGCUUGUAUACCGCCGUCAUAAGAGUACAUCAAGAGGUGUUAUUCAGGAUUUUAAAUGAAACAAGAUGUCAGGUCAAGGUGCAGUCAAUGACCAAGGGGAAAUGGGUUACAAUAGAAGCUCUAAACGGACACAAUAAUGCAAAAGUUGUUGAAGGUGGAUUUGGGAGUAAGGAAAUUAAAAUAAAAUUCUUGAUGUAGGCUCUAAAACAUGCACACAUCGCCCGUCGCUCUCAUUUGUUAAGGUGAGAUAAGUCGUAACAUAGUAGGCGUACCGGAAGGUGUGCCUAGAAAGU
rnacentral:rRNA from 1 species